GCUCUUAAGCCAGCCCCCUGAGAUUCCAGAGUCUGCCUUAGACAGGAGUGGGAUGAACGUGGGGGUGUGGGAAGCGCUCGUGGCUCACUGGAGAGGUUGUUGAUUUACCCGGUAUGUGACUGUGUAUGACCAGGGUGAGCCAAUGUCGGGUGCAAGGCUGCUUCCUGUGGCCAGUCUCCUGCCUCCACCCAAAGCUCCAAAUGUGCCCUUUCCAUGAGUCCCGCAGCACCGUCACUGCACACACCUGUGAAGAUGGAGCAAACGAUUGCCUUCACCUUUGACCUCCCGAGGCCUGGCACCCAGCGCGGUUCAGAUGUGUCUGUAAGCCUUUCACAUCAGUUUAUUUCCAUGCAAUUUGAUUCAAAGCAAUUCUAUUCAAGUCACAUCAGCAGAGUUCAAGUUCUCAGUGAGCACACACACAUACACACACACACACACACACACACACACACACACACACGCACACACACACACACAGAAGCCAGCAUCUGAAAGCCAGCUGGGGGAAUCCACCUGCCUCCGGAUAACUCCCAUUUGCAUGAAGCAUUACUCAGUUUGGGGCCUGGCUCACCUCCCCCGCCCCCAGGGUCUAUGGACUGUGAAAAGGUGGAGUCACUCAACCCUUUAUGAGGCCUCUUGUAAGCCCAGCCUGUAGACACUCAUCAGUGAAUAUUUCUUCAAAUGGUCAUGGAAGCUGCUGAGUUAUGUUCAGUCAAAGAGGUACGGGCUAGCUUACUUCACACAGAAUCCUGUCUCCUGCCAUCUUUGUCAUGAAGCCAUAGAUGAGGAGGGGACAUGAGAGCCCGCUGACCCAAGUGGCCCUAGAGCUGGGCCUGAGGUUUCCCCAUUCCUGGCUGCUGGGGCUCCUCCCCUUCUACACACGAGCUGUAAGAGAUGCCGGGUUUCCUGGGAACACUCCAGCCAGACACAAAACACAACAGCUGUUAUUCAUCAGCCAGAACGCCCUAGUGACACAGCCAUUUCCAGCGGCGACUUCAUAGAGGGCCCACGUGAGGGGUCUAGUCAAGCGGUUGGUGCUGUCCUAAAUUUCAUAAGCAGCAAGCUGGUGCAGAGAAGACAUCCAGGCCGCAGGGGCCGCUGGUCUAAGCAACUUCCGGAAGCAGCUGAAGCAGACACAUCUUGCACCUGAGACCACCGGAUGGCUGAGCUGCAGGGUCUCCUCAGCGCGCCUCUCUCUUUCUGCGCCUGAAAGAGCAAACAAAGGGAGAUGACCUGAGACACCGCUAGAUGUGUCCGCAGCCACUUCCCCGGGGUCUGAAGCUGGUGAGACAGGGCGAUGGGGCCUCGGGCCAUCUUAUUAUAAAGGCGCCUUUAUGCUGUGAUGUAGCCAAACACUUCACCCAUCAAAGAGACCGGGAUUCUCCCCCGCCACGCUCUUCCUCCUAAGGAGAGUCAGAUAAAAGGCUAAGCUGGGAGUUCAAAGUUAUUAAAAUUGGCCCCAGAUUCUGAGUCCCUCCCAGAAAGAAGGCCUAACAAGCAGGCCUCUUCACUGAGAUUUCAUCAGAGCUUCCUGCUUCAAGAGGGACACGGUGUGAGAAACAAAUGUUUUGCCAUGCUGCGAGUAAAGCAGACAGACACAGAGCACUCAUACCGAGAGGGAAGGAGCUUUGCUCCACAAACCAAAUCAGCGCCAUUUUCAUUCCUGAGUUCCUUCAGCAUGUUUUGAGCGCCCGCUGUUUGCAUGAUUUGAGCGCCCACUGUUUGCAUGUUUUGAGCGCCUGCUGUUUGCCAGACUCCAGACGGGGAGCUGUCGUCGUUGUUGUCUAAGGAAACAAGGCAUGGACAUGACCUCCACUGUCAAUGGCAGCGUACACACCUUCAGAACUCCGUGUGAAUGAACCUGUGCCUGGGAGAGACACCUACCUUCAUUAUGAGGGAGGGAGUCCAAGACAGCUCCCUUGCAAAGUGACGAGAGGGGCUUGGGAGAUGGCUCAGUACAUAAAAGGCUUGCCACGCAAGUGUGAGGACUAAGAUUUGCAUCCCCAGAACCCACAUAAUGCUGGGUGGAUUCAGAAGGGGCGAGAAUAGCCAUUAGGAGAGUGGGUCAAGUCUCUGACAGUGCCAUGACCGGACCCCACCAUCACCACUGAAGAACACUGGCCUCUGGCACAUACUUUAUAAGCAUGCAGGAGCCCGGUGCAACCAUGCACAUUUGUGAGUAUCCAGCAGCAGGCAGUGUGGCUGGCUGCAUACACAAGAGCAAGACCCGAAGAUAGCAUGCCUGGAGAUAGAUGGAGCAAGGGAGGAUGAGAGGAGCAAGCCUUUUAAAUAGGACAUGAUAUGUAUAAAAAAACAUGCCAAAGUGCUUUCAGUGACAGACACACAAUCCCUGCUUAUACUGGGAAGAAACAAAGUUACUGUGGGUCAGGCACUCAGAUCAGAUUUUUUUUGAUCAUGCUGCAUUUUUUUUAUUAUUAUUUGUUAUAUGUAAGUACACUGUAGCUGCCUUCAGACACACCAGAAGAGGAUGCCAGAUCUCAUUACGGAUAGUUGUGAGCCACCAUGUGGCUGCUGGGAUUUGAACUCAGGACCUUCAGAAGAGCAGUGCUCUUAACCUCUGAGCCAUCUCUCCAGCCCAUGCUGCAUUUUUUUUUUAAAAGUGAGAUAAGCUAAGAGAUUUAGAAAUCUCCAUUUGAUUAACUAGUAACCCUAGAUGCUAUUAUCUGUCGUUGAAGGGUAAAGAGAUAGGCAAGCCAAGUGAGGGGAUCAGAGGAAGGUUGCGCAGGCAGUUAAGUGCGUGAAUAGAUUCAGGUAAGGCUUCAUCCUGUGUGCUGAGCCAUUCUAUGGUACUGUCAACCAAGGAGUGGAAAGGACUGUUCUGCUCAUUGCACGCCAUCAGGACAUAAAAUAAGGCCCCCGUGUCAGGCAAUGCGGAGGAGAGGCCAGCUUUCUUUGCUAAGCUUGCUGCUGUUGGGGGAGACAAAACGAGUCUAGAGAGUAUUCGCUGAGUGUGGCUGGUUGCUCAAUGUGCCCAUGUGGGAGCACAUUUAUUACAGCGUUCAUCUUCCUACUGACAAUCCGUCCAAGAGCAUUUCACGGAUGUCUCGGUAAAGAAGUACUUUCCAUUCUGCUGCGAUGUGUAACUUGAAGUGGGGCCGUUAUAGACACGCUGCGCCAAGGAUCAACCCGAGUAAAUAGAUCCACGUGAUAAUCUCGCAGGAAACGAUUUCCAGCAACACUGUGCACUUGGCUGCCAUUCUGUCUUGCUUGCUUGUCCCUCACAAACGUCAGCUGAGCAGCAGUCUUCAAUUCCAGAUGCCACUGGCUCUUUGCACAGACUCAAGGUGAGGCAGCCUGAGGUGUAGCCUGUGAACCUACAAACACCUCCUUGUGUUUUCAGUAGAUAGUGACCAGGAGGUAAUUUUGUUCUGGAGGGGCCAGGGGAGAAGAGCCUCAAUACUGUGUGGAAGGCAGCAAAGUCACAUGACUGCUUGGGACACACACACACACAAACCUGUGUUCCAAUUGCAGUUUUUUGUAGCUUAAGAGUGGAAGGUUUUUUUUGCUUUUUUUUUUUAUAUCAUGUUAUCUUGUACUUAUUAAUUUCCUUAUUUGCAAAUGUAUCACAGUGUGACUGUGUAAAGAAUUCCUAUCAUCCGACACCUACUAUUCAGGAACUGUUUCAAGACUCAGUCUGGUGACUUGGUUUUGGCUGGGCUAGGUGUACGAUGUAGGGCCAUGUGUGUUUGAGGCAACUGAUCUACCACUGACCCACAUCCCUCGUCUUUCAGCAGUUCUGAUCCUAAAGCUCACAUUUAUUUCAUAAGAGUGAAACAACAUAAGGAACAGGGGAUAAGAAGCCGACAAGGUUGUGUGACGCAAACGGCCAGGGAAGCAUCCCGAGGUCAACUGCUAAGGCCCUGCUGCUGGAGUUGAGUGUUGGGGCUGGAAGAUGGGGAGAGGCUGGAGAGGAUGUGAGAGCAAGGCAGGGAUGCUCUAACCUAGGCCCUGGUGCACCCUGCAGGCCACAGUGCAGCACCACAUCCUCAUGAGUGCCAGUGGAAAGGAAGUCCUCAGAUAUUCAGCAGGGCAGAGACAAUGUCCUGACUUGGGUGGGACAGGAACGCACGCAGCACUGAACAUGGAGGCUGGACCUCAUGCUCUGAGCUCAGAGCAGAGGGGAGAACGGGGCGUUCAAAGUUCACAGUGAGGAAGCUGGGCCCUAUAAAAAUACCUGUAGAGCCUUCUGUAAAUGGUUAUCUGUCCUUCCAACAGGAAAUACGAUAACACAGUGUAAGCAUUGCUUUUUUUUUUUAAACAGGAAAGCUUUCAGGAUCACACUCAUCUUUGGAGGCCCAGAUAAAUUCAACAUUCAUAUUUAUUGCUUUCAUUAUAAAAUAUAAGCACUUUACAAACAUUUUGGAAAGGGGAAAAAAAACCCACCACCCUUGCUCAAAGACUGCGUCCACAUUUUGGUUAUAUGUCGCUUUAGAUUUAGCAUUUAAAGGUUAAUCUGAAAUUUAACACUGUUCUAAGUGUUUGGUAAAAAAACAUAGAAAUACUGGUUCUUACAGACCUCUGUUUUUCUAAUUCUCCAGAGCAUGUUUUUCUUUCACAGAGAAGACCGAAAGCAUUAGUGAUAAAGCCACAUUCUCCAAGCUUGCAGCCUCAAGAUGAGUGGCCUUUCUGCGAGGCACAUCAACAGCGUGACUUCGAAGAGCAGAGCUUGGAUAGAGAUCUAGGUUCAACGGCCUCAGCUGACAGAACAGUCAACUGGCUGGACCGUGUUUUGUGUGUGUGUGUGUGUGUGUGUGUGUGUGUGUGUGUGUGUGUGUGAUUAUUGGAAACCCAAACUCUUAUUAUCAGUGGGAACGGGAGGAGGGAAGGUCUUUGAAGCCUCAUGUGUCUUUUGUGACCAUGACCCGCAAAGUCAGCAGCCCAGCAGCACAUGUGUGUUGGGGGACGGGGAUGGAGCCCAGGGCCACACACAUCCUGAACAAGCUCUCUACGUCUGAGCUCCAUCCCUGGCUCUUUGAACAGUCUCAUUUCAUUGCCCAGGCUGGUCUUGAAAUUCAUUCUGCAGCUCAAGCAGGUCUACUAGUCACGACGCUCCUGCCUCAGCCUCCCAAGUCGCUGGGAUUAUCAAGUUUAGAAUGAAAUUCUUUUGUUAGUCGCCUUGAUUCUAUGACGUGUCUUUGUUAUCUGAAAUGGCAAUAUUUUUGUAAGUAGAGUAUGCUACCUUUUAAAAACAUAAUUCUGAGCAAAAUGAUGAUCGAAUCUGCACUUCCUUUUUAGACAGGAUCUCACUACAUAGACCAGAUCUCUCAAGAGAUCUGCCCACCUCUACCUCCCAAGUGCUGGGGUUAAAGGCAGGCACCAUCAUACCUGGACUAGUUUUUUGUUUUUCUUUUUUUUUUCUGUUUAGUAUUUUUAAGAUGUCUUUGUGCGUCUCAUCUCUCAGGACCCACCAGUCACACGGCUGGUACUCGAGAAAGUUCGUAUAUAGCCGAGAUGCCUUCCCCAUCAGCUGUUAACAGUGGGAUGCACCUUGAGAACAGGGAGGAGUGUCAGGCUCACCAGAUUUAGCACGGUCAUCUUGACACUCGCGUGGAAUGUGUAUCAACGUUGCAUGAGAACUACUGGUUCAUUCCCUCUAUUUUCACUGAAGAGACACACAAGAUACCCAAACAACACCUUCAGACACAUCACCGUGAAGACCCUCACACUGUAAGGCUCUCUAAUAAAUGAACCUGCCUGAGCCACCCUGCGUGAAACCACACAUGGGGGAAGUGCUAAGUUAGAAUAGCAGCUCCAGCUGAAGGGAACCGAGAAGAAAGUAGAGAGACCCAAAAUUUAAUGUUAAGUUGAAGCAGAACUAAGACCAGCUGUCACUCAUUAAUAGCGGCGGGAUAAAAGGAAGUCGGGUGUCAAUAAGCGACACCAGAGCUGGACAGAGGCCUCAGAGGACAGUAAACUUGCUAUUGGCCCAGGGAAAAGAAAGACUAACGUGACACAGGCAGUUAGAAUGGUCAUGAAGGAAAUAAUUUACAUCAGAGAACCAAGGACUGGAGUAAGCAAGCCCAGCACGGCAGAGUGGUGAGAAGAGCUGGAGCUAGCCCGGGCCAGCAUCACCAUCUCUGGCAUGGACUUAGGGUUCAUGGAAGCCAAAGAACUAAGUGAAGGUGGCCACACAAUCCUAGGAGAGCAGGCUUGGCCAGCCAGGGAGAAAUCAAAAGAAACAUGAAAGACCACGAGCCUUGCGAGGGGAACGGAGGCAGCCAGAAGCACAGAGGACACUCUGACAAAAGAGAAGCUGACACAGAGAAGGAUCUGUAGGACUUAAGUCCAGGCUUUCAAGAAGCAGACCAAGUGCCAGUGAUGGAGAGGAUGGGGGAGAGGAAGGGUUCAGCCACAAGGCUCAGCAGCUACGUGUUGUGCACUGGUGUUGGUCGGGACAAGUGCUCGGUCAGGAGCAAGAGCUUGAUAAUCCUACUCUGACUGACACCUUUAUUUCUUGGUGCUGAGAACUGAACGCAGUCUUGUACGCUACGGCUAGUGCUCUAAACUCUGUAUAGGCCAUUCUUCAGUACUUCUCAGUCUCCUGUCUAAAAUGCCUUCAGACUUCAAGAACCUCCUUCAACAAAUUUAAGCUCUGGCUGGCUGGUUAGUUUAGUUUGAUUUCUGAAAAGUCUCCUGUUUUUUUUUGUGGGUUUUUUUUUUUUUUUUUGAGACAGGGUUUCUCUGUGUAGCCCUAGCUAUCUUGGAACUCACUCUGUAGACCAGGUUGGCCUCAAACUCACAUAGACCAACCUGCCUUGCCUCCUAAGUGCCAGGAUUAAAGGCAUGUGCCACUGCCAGGUGCUGAAAGGAAUUCUGAGAGGUAAGUUCAUGGUUUUCUGAAGGCCAACAACUUCACUGGAAAUAUAACCGCUUUAAACAUGCUGACAAAGAGCCACCAGCUUGUAAGCUGACUGUAAGACCUGCCCUGCCAGCCUUCUCCCUCUGGUUCAUCACUAACCCACCAGACUAGGCACACUACAUGCCCUUCCUACCUUUUCCCUUCUGUACUGGGGACUGAGCCUAGCGCACCCACGCUAGUCACCCACACACACUUAGCACUUUUACUCUUCUUCCAAGAAAGAACUGUCCUUGCAUAGUUAGUGGACUGUAUUCCUUCUCAUCUACAUCCACGAAGCACCCUGUCGCCCCUCCCUGUACUUCAUGGGCAGUGCAACAGUACCACACAUUCACAGGAGGAGCCACCAGUCACGGGUGGUUGUGUAAAAGACACACUGCAUGCAUCUGACUCCAGAAACACCUAACCACCCAGGGGGCAGAAGGCAACCCAUCAGAGAAGAAACCAAAGUUGCCUCUAACUGCGACCCUGGAAUCUGAACUCUGGUGCUAUGUGGCCUCCCCCUCCCCUUUUCUAAGUACACAGUAUUUUGAAACACCUCUUGAUAUUGCUGUACUGACUAGUGGUCUGUAGUUAACAGAACAAAUAAAAAAGCAGAAUUUCACAUUCUCACUCAGCAUAUGAAGAACCUGAUUGUGGAUAAACUUUUCAUUAGUGGUCAUAGCUUUAGACCUAGGUGCCUUCUAGUUUCCACGGGGACAGAUCACACCUCAACAGCUUUUCAUUCAGCUUCAUGGCUAAUGAGUUCAAUACUAGGAAUUUUUAUUCAUCUUACAAGGAAUUAUUUCAACCAUAUAUAUAUGAAGUGCUGUUCUGAACCACCCAAUAUGGGUGUUAGGAACUGACUCGGGUCCUCUUCAAGAGCACUAAACGCUCUCUGAGCCCUCUUUCCAGCCCCACCUAAGUAUUUAUGAACCAUGCCAGUCCCCUGGCAAAAAAUGACAAGUGAAAACGAGCCUGCAUUUUCUAAUGAGGGUAUGUGAAAGCCAGAGGACAACCUUGGGUGACUGCCACCUUUGAGGCAGGGCUGGCCAACAAGUCCAGGGAGGCUCCUGGCCCCUCUACUUCCCCAGAACAUGGUACACCUGGCAUUUGCACAUGGGUUCUGGAGACCAGCCCCAAAUCCUCAUGCUUGCAAGGACAUUGUCAACCGAGCUACUACGCUCCCAGUCCUUGUCUUUUUUAUUAUAUUUUAUUUUGUCAUGCUUAGUUGUUAUCUUUUAAGGAUUUAUUUAUUUAUAUGAGUACAUUGUAGCUGUCUUCAGAUACACCAGAAGAGGGCAUCAGAUUCUUUUAUAGACAGUUGUGAGCCACCAUGUGGUUGCUGGCAAUUAAACUCAGGACCUUUGGAAGAGCAGUCAGUGCUCUUAACCACUGAGCCAUCUCUCCAGCCUUCUGCCCCCCUCCCAAGUUCUUGUCUUGAACUCACUAUAUUCCAGGGUCUCACUAUGUAGUUCUGGCUGGUCUAGAACACACCAAGUAGAGCAGGCUGACCUCAAACUAAGACUCACCUUGCCCUGUUGCUUCUUUAGGUAGGAACAGGUUUCAACCUAAGUGUGACAAGACCGUACACAAGACUCAGGGCUCACAAUGGGGCAGAGGGAGAUAUGCUAAUGGGAGGACAAACUGUCACGACCACCUACAGAAGUCCAUCUAGGGGAAAACACAGGCACGAAUUACCUGUGCCUUCAACACCAGAGAGCUAUCCUCUGGGCUUUCCAGAUGCACUGGAGUUUCUUUGUGAUGUCUUACUGUGCCUAAAGAAAACCCAAACUGAAUAGAAACUAAAUCAGAAGUCUUGUAACCCCAGACCUGAACCAACCCCAACCUGCCUGUAUAAUACACUCCAUCUCUAACAUGAAUAUGGGUAUUUCAGCUUAAACACAAAAUCCAAUCAAACAAUCCAAACAUACUGGUUUCUGUUUUUGAAACGGGAACUUAUGAUGUUGCCAGGCAUCUGUCUCCGUGUUCCCUCUACCUCAACCUUCCCAGGGCUGGGAUUACAGGCAUGAACCACCACACACUGCCACAUGUUUGUAAAGAACAUGGCUGUUUUAAUAGGGAGACAUAUAACAUAUAUUAUUUAAUGAAGAUUUAAUGGGGUGUUGUGGUUAACGAAUAAAAAUUAAAUCUCCUAUUCAAGUAAUUCUACACAUACACACACACACACACACAGAGCUAAGUACAGAGAUGCACAAUGCAUUUCCCACAGUGCCCAUGAGCUAGGUGGUAAGCGUGUUCAAUGUGUGCAUGGUACAAGCACAUCUGUAUAUUCAAUACCAAUACCAUCUCUACUUUAUAGCUGCUGGAUUCUAGAAAAUAAAGAUUUGUAAGCUGCCUAAAUGCUUGGUUUUGUAAAAUUUCUGAAAUGAUGUAUGCGUGAAAGGAAAACACACUAAGGUUUUUUGUUUGUUUGUUUGUUUGUUUGUUUAAAAGCCACUUCUGAAGCCACAUUUAACAGUUAGGCUCCAAGUCACUUCAAUUCAGUGGCUCUUUUCCAUGUACAGAGGACAACGCGCCUGCCCCAGGGAGCUGUUGUAAGGAGUCAUAAAUAGGAGGACACCGCAGAACACAGCUCAGGACUCACGUUUAACAAACCAGCUUCCCUUCCCACUUUCUUACAACGGCGACUGACUGCAGGGUCCCCAGCCUCAGUGUGUGUGUUCCCACCCAAUUCUAAAAUCCAGAAAGACUCCCAGCACUUCAGAGAGAAUCAGUCUAGUUUUGUGUAAAGGAAAAAGGGACAGAACCAAGCAGACAUCAAUACAAUUAAUGCCCUGAACCAACUAUUGCUCAGCUACCUGCAACUGCUGAGUCCUGUGCACCCUAGCAAGUACUUUGCAGAGGCGAAACCUCGCAUCUAUCAUCCAUCACAAGCAUACAAGCACACCGCUAACAAGAAAUGAGAACCAGCUGCUCCUCUCUGAACCGAGUAAGGAUUUACUUAGGAAACACAGGCCAAGUUCACGGACUCGUUACAUGGCUGCCGAUGCUACCCAACACCACGGAAGUAAAGUACCUCAACUCUACCUAAUUUAACUCUACUUCAUUUAAGCUAACAAUUUUGGAGCUCAAAGAAAAAUCAAGGAUCUAGUCUAUCACAGUCUUGAUGAGGGCAUAUACACUGUUCUGAGUUAAACUGUAAUGAUUUCACACCAUACUGAAGGAAUUCAAGGUUGUAAGACCCCAAAUAAACACAAACAAAAGUCGUGGGUCAAAUGCACCCUCAAGCUCACCGUCCUUUCUAUCAAGAGCAGGAAGGCCUCUGCACACUGCAGGAAGGGCGUAACCACACCUCCACCUCCACUCUCAGUGUUCUAGUGCUCACUGCUCUAAUGAUGAUGCCAGGCUGAUGCCUACCAAGUUCCACUUUCUGACGUCACUGCUACGUCUCAUUUCUACCUGAUUCUUCCCCCGUAGCCUUUUAUACUGAGCCUCACUCACUUCUCCUUUCCAAACCUCUCAGGCCAAGCUUUGGCGGACAGCUCCCUUACUACACACAGCACAUGAUCCAAAUGAUGAAGCCAUACAACCUGAGCUAGCGGGUCCGCGCUUUAGUCCACUCUUCUCAAUGUCCAGUGACAGAGUUUGAUACUCGUGAUCCUUACAUUCACUUGACAGAUUCUAAAGCCAACUUGUUCAAAAGAUAAAUUCUGAAAACAAUGUUCAUGAUGUAAAUGACUAUAUUGAAACAAAGAAAAGCUUCAUCCAAGUAUUUACAUUUUUAAAAAAAGACAUUUAAAAGUAGACUACUUAUUAAGUGUGCUUGAACAAACCAUGUGUGGAAUUGAAUUCCAUUCAUUAUGGAGUUAGUUUCUGCUAAAUACUUACUGAUGCUAUAGUAGACGCCUGGCACCUGAAGACUCAAGUUGUCAACUGUUCCCAGUCUACACUAAGAAGUAAUACAUCCUACACUCCCAAGGCUCUAAUUCGGACCUCAGACACACAGAGCUGGACUAUAAGGCAGUUACUCAGGGAUGACGACGUGGCAGCUUUUAAGUGUAGUAGUCCCUCCACCUCCCCAUGUUUUAUCAGGUUUUUAGUUAAACACUAUGGGCCAUUUAAAGGUUUUAAUUACUUAUACCUUACUGUAGUAUGUUACAGUAGCUUACCAAAUUUAGAUAUUCAGAGGUUUUGGAAAAUGUUUUUUUGAGAAUGAGAAGGGUCCCCUAUAUUACAUUAAGUAAAAAAACCAUACAGUUCUGUAGGCCUCAAAAUAAACAGAUUAUACAGCUCAAUUAAAAACCACACACAUUAUAUUACAUACAAAGUUUACAGUCCAGAAAUGCAAAUACAGGCAAUUUGACAUUUCACCCCCUUUU